rnacentral:rRNA from 1 species
GAUGAACGCUGGCGGCGUGCCUAAUACAUGCAAGUCGAGCGAACAGACGAGGAGCUUGCUCCUCUGACGUUAGCGGCGGACGGGUGAGUAACACGUGGAUAACCUACCUAUAAGACUGGGAUAACUUCGGGAAACCGGAGCUAAUACCGGAUAAUAUGUUGAAUCGCAUGGUUCAACAGUGAAAGACGGUCUUGCUGUCACUUAUAGAUGGAUCCGCGCCGCAUUAGCUAGUUGGUAAGGUAACGGCUUACCAAGGCAACGAUGCGUAGCCGACCUGAGAGGGUGAUCGGCCACACUGGAACUGAGACACGGUCCAGACGCCUACGGGAGGCAGCAGUAGGGAAUCUUCCGCAAUGGGCGAAAGCAUGACGGAGCAACGCCGCGUGAGUGAAGAAGGUCUUCGGAUCGUAAAACUCUGUUAUUAGGGAAGAACAAAUGUGUAAGUAAAUAUGCACGUCUUGACGGUACCUAAUCAGAAAGCCACGGCUAACUACGUG